AACGUAGGACGCAAGCGUUAUCCGGAGUUACUGGGCGUAAAGCGCGGGCAGGCGGCUCGAAACGUCUGAUGUGAAAUCUCCUCGCUCAACGGGGAGAGGCCAUUGGAAACGGUCGAGCUGGAGGGCAGUAGAGGUAGGCGGAAUUCCGGGUGGAGUGGUGAAAUGCGUAGAGAUCCGGAGGAACACCAGAGGCGAAGGCGACUCUUUGGUCUGUAACUGACGCUGAGGCGCGAAAGCGUGGGGAGCAAACAGG
rnacentral:rRNA from 1 species